rnacentral:rRNA from 1 species
CCUACGGGUGGCAGCAGUAGGGAAUCUUGCGCAAUGGGGGAAACCCUGAUGCAGCAACGCCGCGUGAGUGAUGACGGCCUUCGGAUUGUAAAGCUCUGUCUUCAGAGACGAUAAUGACGUUACGUGAGGAGGAAGCCACGGCUAACUACGUACCAGCAACCGAGGUAAUACGUAGGUGGCGAGCGUUGUCCGGAUUUACUGGGCGUAAAGGGAGCGUAGGCGGACCUUUAAGUCAGAUGUGAAAUCCUCGGGCUCAACUUGAGUGCUGCAUUUCAAACUGGAAGUCUAGAGUGCAGGAGAGGAGAAUGGAAUUCCUAGUGUAGCGGUGAAAUGCGUAGAGAGUAGGAAGAACACCAGUGGCGAAGGCGAUUCUCUGGACUGUAACUGACGCUGAGGCUCGAAAGCGUGGGUAGCAAACAGGAUUAGAUACCCUUGUAGUC